UUUCCGUAGGUGAACCUGCGGAAGGAUCAUUCAUAAUAAGUGUUUUAUGGCACUUUUUUAAAUCCAUAUCCACCUUGUGUGCAAUGUCAGGGUUGGUCUCUUUUGAUCAGCCCCAAACAUCAACUAUUAUCUCAACUCUUUGUCUGAAAUAUAUUAUGAAUAAAACAAUUCAAAAUACAACUUUCAACAACGGAUCUCUUGGCUCUC
rnacentral:misc_RNA from 1 species